rnacentral:lncRNA from 10 species
GCCGGAGGCCUGGCCUGUGGAUGAGAUUGUUCCUUAUUUCCCCAGCUUCAGCACCACAGAAGAGACCAGAGUCUACCUUGCCAGCUCCUCUAGCACCGACCACGUGCCAAUUCAUGUCCUGAAUGCUCACUUCACUUCUUCACCUUGCUUCACUUCACUUACUGCACGGGAACAGAAAAGCCUAGAGAGGAUGGAUUACCUGUGCGGUUGCCUCCCUCUGCAGAGUGGGCGUGUCUCAGGAGCUUCUCUUCUUCUCCAGCCCAGUGCGGCCUCGUGUCAUCCAUAGGACCCACCGGCAGAGGGCAGGGCCUGCGAGUGGGGCCAGCCUCCUGGUGACUCUCGCCUCCUCUUUUCCAGCGGACGCUACCAGAGGACGAAGGUCUGACUCUGGCCAACGGCCCAGAAUUUCUGGCCCAGUUUUGCCUGAGGAAGCCAACUGUGCAGGAGGUCAGGAUCCCGGUAGGGUGAGAGUGGGAAAGUUAACAUUCCCAAGAGACUCCAAGCAACAGGAUUUCCUGACCUGGGACUAUUACCUUUCUCACAUUACAUGGCCAGAUUUACUUCCUGCUAUUAUUAAAAGUACGAAAAAGAUGAAGAUAUGUGUUUAAUGGAAACAAGGGCAAGAGUUUGCCUGACUGGACUUUGAGGAGGCUGUAGGAUCAUGGCGCUAACGGCAUUUGGAGGGCUGGGAAGGGACUCUAGCCCUGGCUUUACCUGCCUUUGUCAUCAGCUGGAGCAAGCAACUCCGCAACCUCGGAGCCUCAGUUUCCUUUUCUGUAAAAGGCGGGGAGGGUGGGUGGUAAGUGCAAUGCUGAAUCAGAACUCAUAGAGCUGCUGGGUGGACAUGUGAAGUAAAAGAGGAGACAGCUUUUGCUCCUGAAGGAUGCCAUUUGCGUUUUCCUCAUCAGUUUGAUCUCCUCCAAUCAUCCAGCACCUCCAUCUGACCUUCUCAGCUGAGAGGUCCUCAGUGUUUCUGUGGCCUCCAGGAGAAAGGUCCCCCUCCCCGGCUGAGGCCAGGCUGAUGGCAGGCUGCACGGCCAGCCUUCCACAGUCACCUGAAGGAUACAGAAAAGGAAGAGCUGGAGGCUUCUAGCAAGCUGCCGAACUGUGUCCUCCAGCUGCGCCCAGCCCCCUGGAGGUAGCGCCGGAGCACGUGGUGGUGGCUAUGUAGGAAGGCCCCUUUCGAGCCGCCCUAUACUGUCUUUGGGAUCUGCUUUUUACUGCCACAGCCUAUGUGCUCCUGAUUCUUCUCUCAAUCCCUGGAUGGAAACCGGCCUCUGAUACUUGGCUCUGCUUCCUUGGAGGAGCUACUUAACCAUUCAGUCCUCUCUGCAGUUAGCUAUUAAGGUUGUCCUGCGAACUGAAGCAGAGAGUCCCCGCAAAGGGUGCAGAGUAGGGCACCCACAGAGGAGCCUCUAAAGCACUUUCCAUGAGGUGGAUGGCUUCUCCUCCCCAAGGGACCCAGGAAGGAAAGGAGAGCUGCUUCUGCCUCCCCAGCAGAGAGGGACCUUCCCAGAGAAGAUGUCUUGCGCCUCACCUGAUCUUGUUCUGAGAGUAGGAGACUGGAAGAGAAGCGUUCAACUCCCCAAACACAGCUGGGUUUGUUUCGUUUAAUCUCCCAGCCUGUUUUUCUGCUGUCCUCCUGAAGAAUGUUUAAUCUCACAGU